rnacentral:RNase_MRP_RNA from 2 species
ACGUCCAUGAUCAAAGAUUUGUUAUCAAAGCUUACAAAAAGACAUCAUUGUAUGUCAAAUUAUUCGAAUGCUUUGGGGAAAGUCUCCUGUCAUAAUAGCGGAAACGCGAUGGAUUAAAACCCCAUCUAAAAAUGACUUUGUCUUUUUUUUUUUUCUAAAUCCUAAAUUGGUUUUUUUAAUUCCUUUUUAGAUUUGUUUGAAAAGAAUUGUGUUUCUUUGAAACAUGAUUUGUUUUAUUUUCGACAAUGGGGGCUUUAUUUAUUAUGUGUCCUAAACGAAAGAUAUAACAAAUGAUUAUCAUUUUUUUUUUGAUAAUUAACUCAAUGGAGCUUAUUCUUGAUCUUAUGGACG